GCGACCCCAGGUCAGGCGGGAUAACCCGCUGAG
rnacentral:rRNA from 2 species